ACUUACGGCCAUACCAUCCUUUAUACGCCCGAGCUCGUCUGAUCUCGGAAGCUAAGCAGGGUCGGGCCUGGUUAGUACUUGGAUGGGAGACCGCCUGGGAAUACCAGGUGCUGUAAGUG
ensembl:rRNA 5S_rRNA 5S ribosomal RNA